GUAAAGGAAAGAUGGGAUCUGGAGCUUCUAGUACACAUAGGCACAGAUGUGAAUUUACUGAGGGGGAGGAAGACCAUUUCCCUAAGACGUGAAGCCAUCAACUCUCCUGCUGCCAAGAUGAUACCUCAUGUAAUCCCAGUGCUAUGCUGUGACUUCCGUCUGAUGCUUGACCCUCCACAAAGAAAAGUGGAGCAAAGAUGGGAUGUUGACAGCAUCCACACCCAGCAUACUGUAACCAUGACUCAGUCUUGUGUUCAUCCUAUGCAGCAAAGGUAUCAGCCUAAUUUUGCAAGGACCAUGUGUUUUGAAUCAGUGGUUCCAUAGCAGCAGCUCUGGAGAGAUCUGAUCAAAGUUAAGUUCCUAUCAGCACAGAAGCUCCAUGGAGGCAGUUUAUGUGUUUGGACUUAGACCGUGGUAAAGAGAAGCUCUGUUCCUUGGUAUGUCUGUUUGGAGGAGACAUCCAGAUUCUGAAGGAAUCCACUUCCUUCCUCAAGGGAUUUAAUAAAGAUUUAUUUUAACGAAGAUUACACUCCAGGGAUCCAUGAAAAGGCAAGAGCUGUUGUCCUCUGCUUGAUUUAAAAUGUUGGUAGAGAAA